CGCCCACUGGCCUGACAGACUUUCAUGGUUGCUGUGGUUCCCUGUGAGAGAUCUGUCUCUCUCAGACAGCUCAUGUGGAGAAUAAAUAGGACUGAGAGCGACAGGCGAAAGGGGGACGAGAGAGCUUUAGCAACACUGAUAUCUGUUCUCUGUCCUGAACGUGUACAGAACGAUCCAGUCCAUGUGAGGAAGUUCGUCAACAGCACAGUGAUGAAGAGGAGGAGUUACUCUUCAGCACAGUGAUGAAGAGGAGGAGUUACUCUUCAGCACAGUGAUGAAGAGGAGGAGUUACUCUUCAGCACAGUGAUGAAGAGGAGGAGUUACUCUCACCUCACUGAUAAAUGAAUCAACAUCUUCUGACCAAUCAGCAUCCAGAUCUGAGCGCGAUAUCGAUACCGCAGACGUAAAGAGAACGUUUUUUGUUCUUUUUUUUUUGUAGAAAUUUUAUUCAAUCUUUUUUAAGUGUAAAAAUGUCAUUAAAAUAAAUGGAAACUUUUGUCUUUAUUUAUUUUCUCCCUCAGCUGCAGUCUGAAUCGUUUUAUUAUGAAAACCAGACAUCAGCUUAUGUUUCUGUUCAGUAAUAAAAUGUAUAUAUACUUCAGUGGAAAAACUUAUAAAUAACUUCCUUCGGUUGCGUUGAGGCUAACACACCUACAGCGAAGCCGCCCAGAGGCAUGUGGCUUAGGAAUCAAACGAACCCCCUCCCCAUUACCCCCACCCCCACCCCCCUUCAGUCCUGAGCCCCCAAAUGAACGUCAUGUGUGCUGUCAUUUGGAGCACGGCUCUGGCGCGACUCGAUUCCCCACGUUCCCGUGCCAAGGCACGUUUUUCCACGAGCACAGUGUUCCCCCGGAGCGUUCCUAAAUGGAGUCCAGCUGGUGGUGCGGCGUGAAGAGUAUUAGCGGUACGCCAUCGUUACUGCGCCUUCAUCACGCUCCGCCGCUGUUGAGCUCGUCCACGGGCCUGCUGUGAUGGAUCGCGUGGACGUGGAACCGUGACGCACCAUCAGGCUCUGCUGCUAGUGCUGUAGAUGUUUACGGUUUACAUCUUUUAUAAAAAGCCAGCGUUGUCUGAGAGCGGACAGGAGGCAGGGUUACUGUUUUGUUUUGUUUUGUUUUGUUUUGUUUUGUUUUGUUUUGUUUUGUUUUGUUUUGUUUUGUUUUGUUUUGUUUUGUUGGAUGAAAAGACGCUGCUUCGGGAUCUGGCGUGUUUGAGGCGUGAUGGUGUUGCGCUGAAUGUUCAUCAAGGCGUUUAGUCAAUCAGGACAACGGAGAGACAGAAAGAUGGAGCCGGUGUGCUGAGAGACAAAGCGCCAGACGGAACGAGGGAGAGAGAAUGAGAGAGGGAGGAAGGAAAAAUAGGAGGAAAGGAAGAUAAAGUGCGUCUCACUCUGCUUCUCGCUCUGGCUAAUUGGAGAGCAACUCCACACGCUGUCAUCAUUAAUCACCGGCGCUGUCGGCUGCCUGCCCAGGACACUGCUGAGGCCGAAUAAAGCUCUCUCUCUCUCACACACACACACACACACACACACACACACACACACACACACACACACACACACACACACACACACACACUCUCUCUCUCUCUCUCUCUUUGCUGAGUGAGCAGUGGGGGACGUCUGUAACCUCACAUCCUCCACCUCCAUUUCAAACCCUAAGAGACUGAAUCCUCAGAGAAGAGAGAGAUCAAUCAAACAGGUGUAGUCCUGCUGAGGAGAAACUUGUCAUGGCCUGGAAUUGUCCACACACACACACACACACACACACACACACACACACACACACACACACACACACUCACAGGUGACAGAAACUGAGCGUCGACUUGCAUAUUGACUCAGCUGAAGCCAUAAAGGAGAAAGAGGGAGCGGGAGUGAGUGAGAGAGAGAGAGAGACAGAGAGAGACAGAGAGAGAGAGACAAAUGGGACAUUGAGAUGGAUGAGGGAUGUGAUGAACGAGUGAGAAUGAGAUGAAUCACUCAAGAUGGAGUGCGUUCCCCUCUGUUUCACCUCUCUUCUCUUCUCUUCUCUUCUCUUCUCUUCUCUUCUCUUCUCUUCUCUCAGUCAUUAAGGAUCUCAUCUACACCUUUCUUUUAGUUCAUUUUUUAGAAUCCGAUUUAUUUUCCAUUUUCAUGUUUUCAGAUUUUUGAGUGAACUGUUUUUCAAAUAUUUAUUCCACUUUUACCAACGAUUCUAAUCUUUCUUUCUUUUUAAAGAAUUCUAUCGUCCUGUUUUUAAAGAACACAAAUCGUUGAAUUGCGGUAGUAAUACAUUUAUAAAAGAUUAAUAAAAUAUUACAUUUCAAAUAUA